CCGAUAGUGCCACCAUACUAUGAUCCUGUCAGGAUAUCAACCCAUUUAGAUGGGAGCCCUCAGAUCCAAAGACUUCCCCAACAGAAGCCUGCGAGGGACGCUCCGUAGUCAAACCAUAGCAACCGUCUCCGCAGUCCUCAGUGUUCACAUGGAUACAGCCCAUGAACCAUCCCAUGGCAGGUGAGGUUUGCUUGGGACUCUCCUCAUACUAACAGUGGUCCCCCGCCUCCAGCUACAGAGCAUCAAGGCUAAAGGAAGAUGGAAAGAAGCAGGAUCCUCCAUUGUCAGAUGGGAGGUGUGUGGUGAGGACGGAGCAGCAGAUAGACCAUGUGGUCCAAGGACAAGGUUAGCCCAUGGAGGAGGCCACCAGACCAGACCCGGAGUCUGAGAGUCCACAGUGUGUACAGCUCAUCAAGCCGGAGAUACUGUGGUCUACACCAGCAGAAGGGAAGGGAGGCUGGGAGCAAGAUGGAGCAACACUCAGGAACUCGUUCCUAAGGAGUGACGAGAUCAGAUGGAGUCCAACAGAAUUUGGCUACCCUGGUGAAAAGCCAGGAGUUAUCUGUGGAUGUCCUCUGUGCGGUGGCUAUGAUAGAUCAUGUUUUAAAACCCUGACUUCUUAAGUCUGUAGGUCACAGCUCCAUACGGGGUCACUUACCUGAAUGUGGAGGUAACAAAAAAAAAAUGCACAACAGUAAAAUGUUUCUGAACAUACAGCUACCAAAAAUUAACUCAAAUUCAAAUAUAUACCAGAUCGAAGGUG